rnacentral:lncRNA from 1 species
CAGGUACGUACGUACAAUGGGAAGAAAGAGAGAGAGAGAGAAGAAGGGAAGAGAAAAUGAAAAAAGAAAAUUGCAUAAGAACUCUCCUUUACUGGGCCCCACGGCACACAGGCACCACUCCUAUCACUUUUUUUCAUUCCAAAGCACACACCACACCAACACUUUUUAAACAACACAAAGCAUGGAUCAAAAGGAACUAAAGAAAUAUGAAUAAUUCAGAGUCAUUUCUCCCAAUGUAAUUCGCGGAAAAAAUUGAGUGUUUCACGUGAUCGUUUUUGUUCAACAACACUUGCGUUUUUUUUAAUACGUAUCUUUUCUUUUUCUUCUCCGUCAAUGAUCCUUCCUUUGAAGGGGAAAAAAGGAACUACGCAUAACAAUAUGG